rnacentral:sRNA from 1 species
UCAUUAGUGUCUACUGAACUUGUCAUGGU